rnacentral:rRNA from 1 species
GCGGUAUUCAUGAAGGGCGUAUGGUGGAUGCCUUGACUCAAGUGAGCGAUGAAGGACGUAGCGAUCUGCGAUAAGCCUCGGGGAGCUGAUGAGCAAGCUUUGAUCCGGGGAUUUCCGAAUGCGGCAACGCAUCUCGAUUCAUAUCGGGAUAUUACUGUCUGAAUUCAUAGGACAGUGAAGCGUACCCAGGGAACUGAAACAUCUUAGUACCUGGAGGAAAAUAAAUCCAAAAGAUUCCGUCAGUAGUGGCGAGCGAAAGCGGAGAAGCCUAAACCGUUUCACUUCGGUGAAGCGGGGUUGCGAGAUAAUAACGUCCUAUCUUGUAAAACGUUGAAUAUAGUUGUCAGCGUUUUACUCGACGGGAGUGAAGUUACAAAUUGUUUUGUUAGCUGAACAAUUCUGGAAAGUGAGACCAAAGAGGGUAAUAGUCCCGUAAGCGAAAACGAAACAACUUUAUUGUUAUUAUUCUCAAGUAAGGCGGGACCGGAGAAAUCCCGUCUGAAGCCGGGGCCACUAUAGCUCCAAGGCUAAAUAUCACUUGAGAUCGAUAGCGAACUAGUACCGUGAGGGAAAGGUGAAAAGAACCCCGAUGAGGGGAGUGAAAUAGAACUGAAACCAUAUGCUUACGUAGAGUUGGAGCCCCGACGCAAGUCGGGGUGACAGCGUGCUUUUUGCAGAACGAGCCAACGAGUUAAUUUUAUGCGGCAAGUUUAACCCAGCAUUGAAUUUAUAAAGUAAAAAACUUUAAGGAGGUUCCACAGUGGGAGACAAAAAGGAAAUGAAAUUAUGGUUAAUCAUCCUUAGUUGUCCCUUUUUAUGGUAUAUGGCAAUAGCUUUAAUAUUGUCAUAUUUCUAAAGAUAGAGGAUCUCUACGGCGUGGCGUGCGGAAAUACUUCGUGCGCCCGCCGCAACUUUAUAAGUUUGAUGCUGGGGAAAACGUAGUGAAAGCGAGGCUUAAUCGCCGAAAAUAAGUCGCAUGGAUUAGACCCGAAGCCGGGCGAGCUACAUAUGAGCAGGGUGAACGCAGAGUAACAUCUGCGGGAGGCCCGAACCCACGCGCCGUACAACACGCGGGGAUGACUUGUGUGUAGAGGAGAAAUUCCAAUCGAGCUCGGCCAUAGCUGGUUCUUCCCGAAAUAGCUUGAGGGCUAGCGUCGGAUAAAUGAUCACAGGAGGUAGAGCUACUGAAUGAGGGAUCGUGGAGCAAUCCUAGGUCUCUCAACCAAACUCCGAAUGCCUGAUGAUUUUAUCCCGACAGUCAGAACGUGGGGGCUAAGCUUCACGUUCGAGAGGGAAACAGCCCAGAUCGCAGUCUAAGGUCCCUAAAUCUAUGUUAAGUGGUAAAGGAAGUGAAGUCUCCGAGACACCUAGGAGGUUGGCUCAGAAGCAGCCAUCCUUUAAAGAGUGCGUAACAGCUCACUAGUCUAGAGAUUUCGCGCCGAAAAUUCAACGGGGCUCAAACAUAGUACCGAAGACGCGGACUCCAGCGCUUGCGCUGGUUUGGUAGGGAAGUGUCCUCAUCUGCUGCGAAGCGGAAGGCGUGAGCCACCGUGGAGCGUUGAGGAGUAAGAAUGUUGGCAUGAGUAACCGCAAUGUGAGUGAGAACCUCACACGCCGAAAGUCCAAGGUUUCCUGGGCAAUGUCGAUCAACCCAGGGUUAGGCGGUCCUAAGGCGAGGCCGAAAGGCGUAGUCGAUGGACAGCCGGUUAAUAUUCCGGCCCCGCAAUAUUAUUCGAUGGAGUGACGUACUCUAGUAGUCUCUGCCCCUUAUUGGAUUGGGGUAGGCGCAUUGAGGACGUUCGCGAGGAAAAUCCCGCGAGCACAAAUCCAAGAUGCGACUGGAAGUCCGAUUUAUCGGGCGAACGGAGAUGAGCAGGGUACCAGGAAAAACUUCUAAGGUUAAUAAUAUUGCGUCCGUACUUAAAACCGACACAGGUGGACAGGGCGAGUAGCCCAAGGCGAACGGGAGAACCCUCGUUAAGGAACUCGGCAAAACAACUAGACGUAACUUCGGGAGAUGUCUUCCCCGACGCAAGUCGGGGUGCAAUUAAAGAUUCCAAGCGACUGUUUAUCAAAAACACAGGUCUCCGCAAACCCGCAAGGGGAAGUAUGGGGGCUGACGCCUGACCAGUGCUGGAACGUUAACGGGAGCGGUGCAAGCCAAUCCCCGAAGCGCCAGUGAACGUCAGCGAUAACUAUAAUCGUUCUAAGGUUGAGGACAUUUGCAAAAGUGACCUCAAGGACUGGAACGAUUAUAGUGAAAGUGUGAAAAUCUAGUUGAAGAGUUCAAAAAAAAUGAGACACAAAAUAGCUGCUUCAUUCUGCAGCAAUGCAGAAUUGGUCCUAAAAUACAUGGCUAUAUGCUGGGAAGUCCCGACUCGUCGGGAUGAUCAGCAGGGAAGGCCCCGACACAAGUCGGGGAACCCUCAGAUACCAUACGCCGUGCCCCCGGCAUAAUGUCGGGGAGAAGAUAUGGUACAUCGCCCAAAGGAGCGAUCAGCGAAAUUCCUUGUCAGGUAAUGAUGUCAGAUAUUUGCCUGAAUAUCGCAGCAAUGCGAUAAAAGUAAACUGGCUAAUAACGGUGAAGGCUAAAUUUUGCGCAAGCAGGAUAUGCUAAUACCGUGGGAAGUCCUUCGAUGGAUUAUCGGAGUGACCCCGUAACGACUGAGGCGAAAGCCAAGAUCCCGAAAAAACGGGAUAACACGCCAGCGCUUAUCAAAUAAAAGAAACAUAUGGAUUUUGCUUCUUAUGUGACAGGCUUUAUCGAUGGCGAAGGAUGCUUUUCAGUGUCUUUCAAUUAUCGAGAGAAGCUGAAAACUAAAAUUGAGGUGCGUCCGAGCUUUGCAAUCGGACAAAACAAGCGCAGCCUGGAAAUUCUGAAAAAGAUUCGCCAAUUUUUCACUUGCGGAUACAUAAGAUUUUCCAAAAGCGAUCAAUGCUUCAAGUAUGAAGUGAGAAAUAUUGACGAAUUGCGCAAAUUCAUAAUCCCUCAUUUUAGAAAGUUUCCCUUGAUGACCACAAAAAAGGCGGAUUUUGAAAUAUUUUCAAUAAUCUGCGGCAAAGUGGCGCAAAUGAAACAUAGAAAUUCAGAGCACUUGAAAGAAAUUAUUCAAAUGGCUUUCAGGAUGAAUUGUUCUGGAAAAAGGAAAUACAAAGAAGCAGAACUCCUAAGUGUUUUAGAUAAGCUGAAGAUAUAGUCUGAUUUUUCGCGAAAGCGAUCAAACGAAAUGAAGUUCUGACCCGCAUUAAAGGCGUAACGACUCGGAAACUGUCUCAACGAGGGACCCGGUGAAAUCGCAAUGGCAGUGAAGAUGCUGCCGACCUACGGCAAGACGAAAAGACCCCGUGGAGCUUUACUACAACUUGGUAUUGGGUUGUGAUUUUAGCUGCCUAGCAUAGGUGGGAGGCUUUGAAGCCUCGACUUCGGUCGAGGUGGAGCCGCCAGUGUAAUACCACCCUGCUGAAGUCGCAAUUCUAACCCUGGUCUGUUAGUUGAAUUAUAUAAUUUUCAAUUGAUGGUACUCGGAACAAGAGUAAAGAAUUCACAUGAGAGUAUCAUCGAUGAUGAUUAUAAUUUUCACUAUACCCAAAAUAUAUAAUUCAGCUACCAGACCGGGGACAGUGCCUGGUGGGUAGUUUGACUGGGGCGGUCGCCUCCCAAAAGGUAACGGAGGCGUUUACAAAGGUUGGCUAGCUCCGGAUGGAAAUCGGAGCGAUAGCGCAAACGCAAAAGCCAGCUUUACUGGAAGACCCAUAAGUCGACCAGUCACGAAAGUGGAAGUUAGUGAACCGACCAUCGCUUGUAGGAGCGUGGAAGAUCAUCAGAUAAAAGUUACCCCGGGGAUAACAGGCUUAUUCCUCCCAAGAGUUCACAUCGACGGAGGAGUUUGGCACCUCGAUGUCGGCUCAUCGCAUCCUGGGGCUGGAGAAGGUCCCAAGGGUUUGGCUGUUCGCCAAUUAAAGCGGUACGCGAGCUGGGUUCAACGUAGGCGCCGUUGCUUGAGAAGAGUCUUUCUUAGUAAGAAAAUUGCUACUUUUUCGAGUAAUCGAAAUUGAAAAUCCGACUAAUAACGGUGAAACCUUCAUAAAAUUGUGGCCAAUUGAGCUUAUUUCUUUGCGGUCCAGAGAAAAUAUGCUAGAAUAAACUUACUUGAGGACCAUAAUUUUAUAAGGCAAUACCGUGGGAAGUCGUCCCAAAACUAAUUUAGCUUAUAUAGCUGGUUUUCUUGACGGAGACGGAAGCCUGAUGAUGCAAAUAAAAAAACGAAGCGAUAACCAAAAAAAUCGCUUUAUGCUCACAAUUUGCAUGUAUCAGGACACUCGUCAUGAAAAACCGUUGCUUUGGAUCAGAAAAGAACUUGAAAUUGGAUACAUCUGCCGGAGAAACGACAAUAUUACGGAACUGCGGGUGAAUGGCUACCAGCAGGUGGAAAGAAUAUUAAAAUUAUUGAUUCCGUAUAUCAAGUUCAAGAAAAUCCAAGCCGUAACAUUGCUGAAAUCCGCGAAAAUUCUUCGUAAAAAAAAAUUUUCUCAAAGAGAUUUGAGAAAAUUAGUUGACUAUAUUCUGGCGAUUCAAAAAGAAAAUUAUGUCUCGCGAAGAAAGAAAAGCAAAAAAGAGCUAAUGAAAAUUUUAGGAUUGACCCCGUAACGACUUUGGUCCGACGUCACGUCGGACCAGAAUAGCGAGUUAAUAAAAAAUCUAAACCGCUAUAAUAUGUCGGCCCCGCCCAAAUUUCUUCGAAAAUUGCGGCGGGUGAAGAUAUAGUCUGGGCCCGCAGAAAUGCGGGAUUACAACCGACGAGAGGACCGGAAAGAACGAACCUCUGGUGUACCAGUUGAUCCUGCCAAGGGCAAUGCUGGGUAGCUAUGUUCGGAAGGGAUAACCGCUGAAAGCAUAUAAGCGGGAAGCCCACUUCAAGAUUAGGCAACUCUAGUGCUUGCACUAGAUGGCUUCCUGGGAGAUGACCAGGUUGAUAGGCUUCAGGUGUAAGUGCGGCAACGCAUUGAGCCGAGAAGUACUAAUAAGCCGAAGAAUAUCCUCU